rnacentral:rRNA from 1 species
GAUGAACGCUGGCGGCGUGCUUAACACAUGCAAGUCGAACGGAAAGGCCCAAGCUUGCCUGGGUACUCGAUUGGCGAACGGGUGAGUAACACGCGGGUGAUCUGCCCUGCACUUCGGGAUAAGCCUGGGAAACUGGGUCUAAUACCGGAGAGGACGAUGGUUUGGAUGCCGUUGUGGAAAGUUUUUGCGGUGUGGGAUGAGGUCGCGGACUAUCAGCUUGUUGGUGGGGUAUUGGCCUACCAAGGCGUAGACGGGUAGCCGGCCUGAGAGGGUGUACGGCCGCAUUGGACCUGUGAGGGGGGCCGGAGUAGGACGUGAGGCAGCAGUGGCGAAUGUCGGACGGUGGGAGCAAGCGUGAGGGAGGGAGGCCGUGUGAGGGAUGAAGGCCGUCAGGAUGGAAGCACCUAUGGGUAAGGACGAGGGGAUUUUGUGACGGUACCUAGAGAGAAAGCAACGGCUAACUACGUG